GCCGGGUUUGGUGGCGCAUGCCUGUAAUCCCAGCUACCCAGGAGGCUGAGGCAGGAGAAUCGCUGGAACCCAGGAGGCAGAGGCUACAGUGAGCCAAGAUUGUGCCACUGUACUCCAGCCUGGGUGACAGAGCGAGACUCUGUCUCAA
rfam:Nomascus leucogenys chromosome 1a, whole genome shotgun sequence.